AUUCUACCUCAGCAUGCCGAGUAGCUGGGAUUAUAGGCAGGCACCACCACACCUAGCUUUUUUUUUUUUGAGAUGGAGUCUCACUCUGUCACCCAGCCUGGAGCGCAGUGGCGUGGUCUUGGCUCACUGCCAACCUCCACCUCCCAGGUUCAAGUGAUUCUCCCAUCUCAACCUCCCGAGUAGCUGGGACUACAGGCGUCACCUGGCUAAUUUUUGUAUUUUUAGUAGAGACAGGGUUUCACUAUGUUGGCCAGGCUGGUCUCAAACUCCUGACCUCAUGAUUCACCCACUUUGGCCUCCCAAUUUUGGUAUUUUUUUAGUAGAGAUGGGGUUUCAGUAUGUUGGCCAGGCUGGUCUCCAACUCCUGGCCUUGAGUGAUCGGCCUGCCUCGGCCUCCCAGAGUGCUGGGAUUACAGGCAUGAGACACUGUGUUUGCGCCUGGCCCUUGGGAUCCGUUUGAAAUAUAAGUUGGACUUUCCUCUACCAGAGGCAGGGCUCGGCCACCCUUGACACAGUUUCCAGUUCUCCACCCGCUCCAGUUCCACAGUAAGAUGGAUCCAGACAUCUGUGUCAUACAACUCCCUCCUGGGGACCACCCCACUAUGGGACAGCUAGAUGCAGCCUGUUUGACUGCCUCCUGACCCCAACACCCAGCAUGACUAUGACUGUGCAGAUUUUCAAUGACUGCCUCUCAGUCACUGUGUGACCUCCUGGGACCCGUGCCUGCUUGCUCCAAACCCACUACUUAAAACCCUCUGCUGGAAACCUGUUUGGAUGAUAGUCAAGGCGUGGCCCCAUGUCCCUUCCUCGCUCCAGGCGCUCCCUGACCUCCAUGCAUGUGGCCUCUGGGAAUGCUGUGUACUCUCAGGACGUCACAGACUCGAGAAAUGUAGGGAACUCGAGAGCAGCCACUCGGCCCCAGGAUCAACCCAGCACCGAAGAAAAACAACCAGAAGA
rnacentral:lncRNA from 1 species